UACGAAGGGGGCUAGCGUUGUUCGGAUUUACUGGGCGUAAAGCGCACGUAGGCGGAUCGUUAAGUCGGGGGUGAAAUCCUGGAGCUCAACUCCAGAACUGCCUUCGAUACUGGCGAUCUCGAGUCCGGAAGAGGUGAGUGGAACUCCUAGUGUAGAGGUGGAAUUCGUAGAUAUUAGGAAGAACACCAGUGGCGAAGGCGGCUCACUGGUCCGGUACUGACGCUGAGGUGCGAAGGCGUGGGGAGCAAACAGG
rnacentral:rRNA from 1 species